GAUGAAGUAAGCUAAUUAAGCUGUCGGGCCCAUACCCCGGAAAUGAUGGAUAAACCCCCUCCCUCAUCG
rnacentral:tRNA from 1 species